AAUGAACGCUGGCGGCGUGCUUAACACAUGCAAGUCGCACGAGAAAGCCUUGGCUUGCCAGGGCGAGUAAAGUGGCGCACGGGUGAGUAACGCGUGGGUAAUCUACCCUUGAAUCGGGGAUAACCCUUCGAAAGGAGGGCUAACACCGGAUGACAUCGGAUUAUCUUUGGAUUUUCCGAUCAAAUGUGGCCUCUACAUGUAAGCUACUGUUUGAGGAUGAGCCCGCGUACCAUUAGCUUGUUGGUGGGGUAAUGGCCUACCAAGGCGACGAUGGUUAGCUGGUCUGAGAGGAUGAUCAGCCACACUGGAACUGACACACGGUCCAGACUCCUACGGGAGGCAGCAGUGAGGAAUUUUGCGCAAUGGGGGAAACCCUGACGCAGCAACGCCGCGUGAGUGAUGAAGGCUUUCGGGUCGUAAGCUCUGUCAAGUGGGAAGAACCUACACAUGGUUAAUACCCAUGUGUACUGACGGUACC
rnacentral:rRNA from 1 species